GUUGCCAGCCCGCUCAAGAAACUUAAAGGAAUUCGACGGGGCCCGCACAAGCGGAGGAGCAUGUGGUUUAAUUCGAUGAUACGCGAGGAACCUUACCUGGGCUCGAACGUAAGAUGACUGUAGGUGAAAGCUUACAUCUCUUCGGAGCAUUUUACGAGGUGCUGCAUGGUUGUCGUCAGCUCGUGCCGUGAGGUGUCGGGUUAAGUCCCAUAACGAGCGCAACCCUACCUUUAGUUGCCAUCAGGUAAUGCUGGGGACUCUAAAGGAACUGCCUACGCAAGUAGUGAGGAAGGCGGGGAUGACGUCAAAUCAGCACGGCCCUUACGUCCAGGGCUACACACGUGCUACAAUGGCCGAUACAGAGGGCAGCUACCUGGUGACAGGAUGCAAAUCUCCAAAGUCGGUCUCAGUUCGGAUCGGAGUCUGCAACCCGACUCCGUGAAGUUGGAUUCGCUAGUAAUCGCGCAUCAGCCAUGGCGCGGUGAAUACGUUCCCGGGCCUU
rnacentral:rRNA from 1 species